AGGCGCACAUGGCUUUAAAAACUGUUCAAAAGCCGUUUAUAGUUCCUGAAAAUAACGAAAAAAUGUAACGGAAAGUUUAAGGGUUAACUAAAAUCUUACCUCUUUGACAGAAAGGAACUCCAACAGAGGAAAAACGAGAUGACGAUCUAAAAAGUGGGCAAUUUUGGUGGUGAGGUCGUAUUCCGCCAUCUUUGCUCAGUGAAAAGGGAAACGGAUGUGUGUCACAACUUUGUUAAAACGGGACUGACCAAUCAGCGACAUUCUCACGCUCUCAUCAAUAAAUACAUAAAAGAGCCAAAUACAGUCAUGCUGAAGGCCCAUUUACAGGCCUGCUUAAUUUGAAUGAAAACAACCAGAUCAUUUCCAAUCAUUUGACUUUUCCACAAGGUGCUUGGAGGGCGGAUUUUAUUACUUUUGGAUGGAGCGGGUCUAGCUGUUUCCCCAAGUUUCGGCAAGAAAGGAAAUGAGCGCAUUUCCCAAAGACGUCAAAUUGCUCCAUUAAAGCCAAGGCAAUGUGAUUACUGAAAACUGAUUGUUGUUUGUCAGAUGUAUGGAUACAGUUC